GAUGAACGCUGGCGGCGUGCCUAAUACAUGCAAGUCGAGCGAACAGACGAGAGUGCUUGCACUCUCUGACGUUAGCGGCGGACGGGUGAGUAACACAUGGGUAACCUACCUAUAAGACUGGGAUAACUUCGGGAAGCCGGAGCUAAUACCAGAUAAUAUUUAGCUUCGCAUGAAGCAAUAGUGAAAGACGGUUCUGCUGUCACUUAUAGAUGGACCCGCGGUGUAUUAGCUGGUUGGUGAGGUAACGGCUCACCAAGUCAACGAUACAUAGCCGACCUGAGAGGGUGAUCGGCCACACUGGGACUGAGACACGGCCCAGACUCCUACGGGAGGCAGCAGUAGGGAAUCUUCCGCAAUGGACGAAAGUCUGACGGAGCAAUGCCGCGUGAGUGAAGAAGGUGUUCGGAUCGUAAAGCUCUGUUGUAAGGGAAGAACAAGUACGUUAGUAACUGAACGUACCUUGACGGUACCUUACCAGAAAGCCACGGCUAACUACGUG
rnacentral:rRNA from 1 species